GGGGGCGACUUGGCUUCGACGCUGGUAGCGAAACCUCAUGGUGCAUGCCGAGAAGUGCAACAAUUCUCGUUAAUACUUUGUCGCAUAUUAAAGUAAUCGCAAACGACGAUACUUACGCUCUAGCGGCGUAGCAAUACGAAGCUAACCGACGGACGAAUUUGCUU
rnacentral:tmRNA from 1 species